UACGAAGGGGGCUAGCGUUGCUCGGAAUUACUGGGCGUAAAGCGCACGUAGGCGGUCUUUUAAGUCGGGGGUGAAAUCCUGGAGCUCAACUCCAGAACUGCCUUCGAUACUGGAAGACUCGAGUCCGGGAGAGAUGAGUGGAACUGCGAGUGUAGAGGUGAAAUUCGUAGAUAUUCGCAAGAACACCAGUGGCGAAGGCGGCUCACUGGCCCGAUACUGACGCUGAGGCACGAAAGCGUGGGGAGCAAACAGG
rnacentral:rRNA from 1 species